UGGGCGAAAGCCUGAUCCAGCCAUGCCGCGUGUGUGAAGAAGGUCUUCGGAUUGUAAAGCACUUUAAGUUGGGAGGAAGGGUUGUAGAUUAAUACUCUGCAAUUUUGACGUUACCGACAGAAUAAGCACCGGCUAACUCUGUGCCAGCAGCCGCGGUAAUACAGAGGGUGCAAGCGUUAAUCGGAAUUACUGGGCGUAAAGCGCGCGUAGGUGGUUUGUUAAGUUGGAUGUGAAAUCCCCGGGCUCAACCUGGGAACUGCAUUCAAAACUGACUGACUAGAGUAUGGUAGAGGGUGGUGGAAUUUCCUGUGUAGCGGUGAAAUGCGUAGAUAUAGGAAGGAACACCAGUGGCGAAGGCGACCACCUGGACUGAUACUGACACUGAGGUGCGAAAGCGUGGGGAGCAAACAGGAUUAGAUACCCUGGUAGUCCACGCCGUAAACGAUGUCAACUAGCCGUUGGGAGCCUUGAGCUCUUAGUGGCGCAGCUAACGCAUUAAGUGACCGCCUGGGA
rnacentral:rRNA from 1 species